rnacentral:rRNA from 1 species
GACGAACGCUGGCGGCGUGCUUAACACAUGCCAGUCGAACGAGCAAGCUCUUCGGGGUAAGUACAGUGGCGAACGGGUGAGUAACACGUGGGCAACCUGCCCCAGAGAGCGGGACAACCCGGGGAAACCCGGGCUACUACCGCAUGCUGCGUCCCCACCUAAGUGGAGCCGCCAAAUGGUAGCCUCGGCCUCCGUCCUGGGGUGGGCCCGCGCCGGAUUAGCUAGUUGGUGGGGGUAACGGCCCACCAAGGCGACGAUCCGUAGCUGGUCUGAGAGGACGAUCAGCCACACUGGGACUGAGACACGGCCCAGACUCCUACGGGAGGCAGCAGUGGGGAAUCUUGCGCAAUGGGCGAAAGCCUGACGCAGCAACGCCGCGUGGGGGAAGAAGGCCUUCGGGUUGUAAACCUCUUUCAGUAGGGACGAAGCUUCCGGGGUUAAUAGCCUACGGGGUGACGGUACCUACAGAAGAAGCCCCGGCUAACUACGUGCCAGCAGCCGCCGUAA